GUGAAUCAUCAAAUUUUUGAACGCAAAUUGCACUCUCCGGUUUUCCGGGAGAGUAUGCCUGUUUGAGGGUCAGCCUAUAAAAAAUCGACAUCGUUGCUGUUUCGCGGUGGCGUUCGUCGGAAAUUGGGUCAUCUUAAAUCCUUUUGGUUUUUAAGCGACUUAAAAUUUUCUUUACGAUUCUACGAACGUUUCUAAGAUUUACUUACACGUUUAAGGUAUCGAUUUUUAUUAGACGUGGCCGUUGCAUCGGAUCACGUCCAUAAAUAUUUCGUUAACUGACCUCAUACAGGUAAGAACACC
rnacentral:misc_RNA from 1 species